GUGCCAUCCGCUAAUCUAAACAAAUGAAAUCUCUUAUUAGCCUACAAAAAUAUUAGUUUACUUAGAUUUUUAUUAGUCCUAAACUGGCUAUAGUUGUAGAUACUGUGUUAAAUUGUUAUUGUAAUACGUGCUGGAGCUUCGGAAACAAAUGUUAAAGGAAAUUGUGAUUUAUAUUUAUACCCAUUCCUCAUGGACUGAAACCGGAGUUGAAAAUUGGCAACGAAAAUAGUUUACAUAAAUUCUGAGCACACUUGCAUGGCCGAGCAUGAAUUGGACUGGAACCGGAGAAUGGCUUCGAUAUUUGGUGGGGUGGGCUGCAACACUCUCUGGCAAUCGAGUUGCAAAUGGCAAAAUAUUUAAAUGUAACUCAAUUUGGAGCGCGCUGGAAACCACUGCCCCAACAAGGAGAUGCAGGACAACAGAGCAGCAGCAGCAGCAAUAGGAGCAGGAGACAGCAAAUGUGUGUGUCCUUCUACCCAUAAUAACGAGAUAUUUCUAUUUGAUUUAUUUAUAAGUGCAAUUUGUGCGCAUUUCUUUUGCAAAACUCUCGCCGCUCCCAAUGCCUUUUGAGCUCCGACACACACACACACAUAUGCACACGCACACACACGUGUUCACACAUACUUACAUUUGAAAUGGGGUGUGGUCUUCUGACUGCAGGGAAAUGCAAUGUUUUAUUGACGACAGGCAAUUCAAUUUGCAAAGUCUGUAAUAUAUUUUGAUGCCAAAGCGCAAAUAAAAAUUGAAAUCAAAUGCUAAGCAUAGCUGAAAAUCAAAUAAAAUAAGAAAUUCAAAUGGCAACGGCUGUUCGAGGGUAUUGCUUGAUCUUUUCCACGCCCACAGAAUGCUUGAAAAUGCCAGAAUUUCAUUUGUGAUUGCAUAUUGCAUGGAUAAUCUGAAUCAAUAUAAAAAGGUGGAAUUUGUAAACGGAGAUAAGCUAAAAGCACUCUGAAUGCCGAAUGGAAUCCAUUUAAAGGGAAAAUUAAAAGCUCUCUAAUAUAUUCGUAGUGAUGAAUUCUUUGCCGUAUCUAUGAGGCACACCUUUACGCAAAUGUUAAACGAUUCUGAGUUCUGCAAACGGUGUAAAUAAACGCAAGAGAAUUAUUAAUGCGGACACCUUAUCAAAAAUGGCAGCAAUCAGCACGCUCAGUUAGCACCUCAUU